rnacentral:rRNA from 1 species
AAACUAACAGAUUUACUUCGGUAAUGACGUUAGGAAAGCGAGCGGCGGAUGGGUGAGUAACACGUGGGGAACCUGCCCCAUAGUCUGGGAUACCACUUGGAAACAGGUGCUAAUACCGGAUAAGAAAGCAGAUCGCAUGAUCAGCUUUUAAAAGGCGGCGUAAGCUGUCGCUAUGGGAUGGCCCCGCGGUGCAUUAGCUAGUUGGUAAGGUAAAGGCUUACCAAGGCGAUGAUGCAUAGCCGAGUUGAGAGACUGAUCGGCCACAUUGGGACUGAGACACGGCCCAAACUCCUACGGGAGGCAGCAGUAGGGAAUCUUCCGCAAUGGACGAAAGUCUGACGGAGCAACGCCGCGUGAACGAUGAAGGCUUUCGGGUCGUAAAGUUCUGUUGUUAGGGAA